rnacentral:rRNA from 1 species
UGGGGAAUUUUGGACAAUGGGCGAAAGCCUGAUCCAGCAAUGCCGCGUGAGUGAAGAAGGCCUUCGGGUUGUAAAGCUCUUUUGUCAGGGAAGAAACGGUGAGGGCUAAUAUCCCUUGCUAAUGACGGUACCUGAAGAAUAAGCACCGGCUAACUACGUGCCAGCAGCCGCGGUAAUACGUAGGGUGCAAGCGUUAAUCGGAAUUACUGGGCGUAAAGCGUGCGCAGGCGGUUUUGUAAGUCUGAUGUGAAAUCCCCGGGCUCAACCUGGGAAUUGCAUUGGAGACUGCAAGGCUAGAAUCUGGCAGAGGGGCGUAGAAUUCCACGUGUAGCAGUGAAAUGCGUAGAUAUGUGGAGGAACACCGAUGGCGAAGGCAGCCCCCUGGGUCAAGAUUGACGCUCAUGCACGAAAGCGUGGGGAGCAAACA